AGCAGUAGCCGCGGUAACACGUAGGGUGCGAGCGUUAAUCGGAAUUACUGGGCGUAAAGCGUGCGCAGGCGGUUAUAUAAGACAGAUGUGAAAUCCCCGGGCUCAACCUGGGACCUGCAUUUGUGACUGUAUAGCUAGAGUACGGUAGAGGGGGAUGGAAUUCCGCGUGUAGCAGUGAAAUGCGUAGAUAUGCGGAGGAACACCGAUGGCAAGGCAAUCCCCUGGACCUGUACUGACGCUCAUGCACGAAAGCGUGGGGAGCAAACGGGAUUAGAGACCCGUGUAGUCCCUGUCUCUUAUACC
rnacentral:rRNA from 1 species